rnacentral:rRNA from 1 species
CGGACCUCCGUCGGGCGCAGACCCGAAGCCCGACGAUCUAUCCAUGGCCAGGAUGAAAUCGGGGUAACACCCGACGGAGGUCCGAACCGACGUUCGUUGCAAUGCCCGCGGAUGAGCUGUGGAUAGUGGAGAAAUUCCAAUCGAGUCGGGGGAUAGCUGGUUCUCCUCGAAAUAGCUUUAGGGCUAGCGUCCGGCGUACCCUCUGGGGGUAGAGCACUGAAUGCCUGAUGGCCGCGCACAGCGGUACUGAAUGCAAUCAAACUCCGAAUCCCAGGGGGGUCGAGCCGGGCAGUCAGACUGCGGGGGAUAAGCUCCGUGGUCGAAAGGGAAACAGCCCAGACCGCCGAAUGAGGUCCCCAAAUCCACGCUAAGUGUGAAAGGACGUGGGGGCGCUUAGACAACUAGGAUGUUGGCUCAGAAGCAGCCACCAUUCAAAGAGUGCGUAACAGCUCACUAGUCGAGUGCCCCCGCACCGAAGAUUUACCGGGGCUGAAGCGUGGUGCCGAAUUCGCGGAUUUUGGAUUCGCGUCCAAAGUGGUAGAGGAGCGUUCCGCCAGGGGCGAAGCCGCACCGAGAGGAGCGGUGGACCGGGCGGAAGUGAGUAUGCCGGUGUCAGUAACGAUGAGGGGUGGGAAUCCCCUCCACCAUUUGACUGAGGUUUCCCGGGCGAGGGUCGUCCCCCCGGGGUCAGUCGGGACCUAAGGCGAGGCCGAAGGGCGUAGCCGAUGGACGCCAGGUCGACAUUCCUGGACUGGUGCGCGUGCGAUGUGGUGACGGAUCCGGACAGGGGCUCCCCCUUAUUGGAUUGGGGGCCAAGCGGCUCGGCCGCGCGGCAGGCAAAUCCGCCGCGCAGAGGCGAGGCCGCGAGCGCGAGCGAAACCUUCGGGGAGUAGCGAAGGCCCCGACGCCGGGUCCCGAGAAAAACCGCUAGCCUAAGCGCGCAUCACCCGUACCGAGAACGGACACACGUGGUCAAGGAGAGUAUCCUGAGGUGAGCGAGUUAACUGUUGUUAAGGAACUCUGCAAAAUUGCUUCGUAACUUCGGAAGAAGAAGCGCCGGCGCGAGCCGGCCGCAGUGAAGAGGCCCAAGCAACUGUUUAUCAAAAACACAGCUCUAUGCUAAGCCGCAAGGCGACGUAUAUGGGGUGAUGCCUGCCCAGUGCUGGAAGAUUAAGGGGAGGAGUCAGGCGCAAGCCGAAGCCCCGAGCCGAAGUCCCAGUGAACGGCGGCCGUAACUAUAACGGUCCUAAGGUAGCGAAAUUCCUUGUC